rnacentral:lncRNA from 1 species
CCUCUGCAAUUUUGGCAGAGACUAGGGAUCUGAGGGAGAUAACGAGUAAGAGUUUGGAGAACAUUCUGGAUUAAAACAAAUCUCACACAUCAGAGAUCAAGGAGUCAUUUCUCUUCACUUCAGAUUCCUGGUGGGAGGAUGCUUGCUGGUGAGUCUCUCUUGCUAGGCACAGGGUAAGAAUUUUUUGCUGUUCUUGCCUUUUGUUCGUUGUUGUUGAUGCUAGUUUGUCCUCCAACAUACCAUUCCUCCAGUGGUUUGUUGCAAUCACCUGCUGUGAUUUGUUCUUAAAAUAUUUUAAAACCCUGUGGGUGGGGAUAACAUCUUGUCGGAUGCCCAGUACAAUAUGAUUCACAGCUCAAUAUCACAGCUCCUGCUCACCUCCCCCAGUGUCCUUGUACAGCAAGGAACUGAAUUCCAUCCAUUGCCUUCUGUGGUCGUAGGAUCAGACAACUUUGGUACUGCAGUUAAAGAAGUAUUUCCCUUGUGGAGUCGGCCUUGCUUGUUUUGUUCUGCCCCUGUGAAGACUCUUCAGCCCAUGUCUGAGUGCAGAAGCAAUACUAGACUGCAGAAUCACACUCCAGAGUGGAUCACUGCUGUCUCAACUACUGACCAUGCUGCCACCAGAAGGGUGAUGACCCCUCUGAUAGAGGUUGUUUGUCUGGAAAGGGGCCCCAUGCUGUUGAGGAGUGAGGUAGCACCUCCAACUCUCCACAACUACCACUGCAAGGAAUGUGUGUGAGGUUUGUGGAUUGCCAGCAUGGCCCAAGUCCAGUACUGAUGGGCAGAUUGAGUCUCAAUGAACCACGCUGGCUACCUGGCUGCUGGAAAGCCAGUCUGAAGUGUCACCUCAACAUCCACUGGAACAGAGUGAAAGAUGCCAUGAAGCUCAACUGGAGAUGGAAGGGGAAUUUGGAAACAGCACAUCCCUCUUUCGAAGUAAAUUAUGCAAUCCCACAGUGACAAAACCUAUCUGGGAAACAGACAUGGCAGAGGACUGUAAAGUCAGAUGUGGGAUCCUACACGUCACUGACCAGUCCUUCAAAGUGUAUACAAGAAACAAAGCAAAUAAGAUUUCUGCUCUGACUCACUCAUAUAAUAGGAUGCCUCAAAUGACUCAAUGGUAUACUGUCAAAUGUGUCAUUCUGGAAAGUUUGUACAAAUACUCAUAACUACCCAGGAACUGAUUAUGAAUUGGCAAACCAAAGGAGACAUCCCAUUCACAGCAUAAUCCUUUUGCAUCCUCCUAGUGUGCAUUUGAAAUAAAUAGGAAAUGAACAGUAAACUUAAAGCCA